rnacentral:lncRNA from 1 species
AGUGUGGUGACUGUCAUGUUCUUGUGCCCCUCGUGUUGUGAAAGAGUUGGAGUCCUUGUGUUUGGCAUGUUCCAAGGCAAAUGACCCUGGUUUACAUUUGCUCAUGUCAAAGGAACUGCGUGCUACAGACAGAGCAGACCGAAACUAACAGAGUGCUUCACAAACAGUGAUGGAGAGCGAAAAUGCAAAAGAACAACUGCAGCAUCUUUUCCAAGCAAGGGAGAAGGGGCAUACUGGAAAGAGAAGAGCCUUCGCUCCUAGCUGGGCGGCUCCAGAUUAUUCACUGGGUAAUCUUCCUCCAGUAAGAAAUGUCCUGAACUGAGAGGCAUCUUUGAUCGACCACUCCUUACCGAAGCGAUCAAAACUGUGUGCGUAAAAACUGUCUUGUUCCUCAUUGCUAUUACUUAACCUCGAUCAUUUGCAUGCUCUGUAUGGCAGAUGUCAGCAAGAGGUCUAGCAACUUGCCAGACUCCACUCAGUCAGCAUUACA